CGGGGCAUGCGCGUGCUAUACAUGCAGUCGAGCGGACAGAUGGGAGCUUGCUCCCUGAUGUUAGCGGCGGACGGGUGAGUAACACGUGGGUAACCUGCCUGUAAGACUGGGAUAACUCCGGGAAACCGGGGCUAAUACCGGAUGGUUGUUUGAACCGCAUGGUUCAAACAUAAAAGGUGGCUUCGGCUACCACUUACAGAUGGACCCGCGGCGCAUUAGCUAGUUGGUGAGGUAACGGCUCACCAAGGCGACGAUGCGUAGCCGACCUGAGAGGGUGAUCGGCCACACUGGGACUGAGACACGGCCCAGACUCCUACGGGAGGCAGCAGUAGGGAAUCUUCCGCAAUGGACGAAAGUCUGACGGAGCAACGCCGCGUGAGUGAUGAAGGUUUUCGGAUCGUAAAGCUCUGUUGUUAGGGAAGAACAAGUACCGUUCGAAUAGGGCGGUACCUUGACGGUACCUAACCAGAAAGCCACGGCUAACUACGUGCCAGCAGCCGCGGUAAUACGUAGGUGGCAAGCGUUGUCCGGAAUUAUUGGGCGUAAAGGGCUCGCAGGCGGUUUCUUAAGUCUGAUGUGAAAGCCCCCGGCUCAACCGGGGAGGGUCAUUGGAAACUGGGGAACUUGAGUGCAGAAGAGGAGAGUGGAAUUCCACGUGUAGCGGUGAAAUGCGUAGAGAUGUGGAGGAACACCAGUGGCGAAGGCGACUCUCUGGUCUGUAACUGACGCUGAGGAGCGAAAGCGUGGGGAGCGAACAGGAUUAGAUACCCUGGUAGUCCACGCCGUAAACGAUGAGUGCU
rnacentral:rRNA from 1 species